rnacentral:siRNA from 1 species
AGGAAUCUACACAACGUCGUUUCA